UAUGUGAUCGUCUCUCGCAUAUCAAUAAGCGGAGGAAAAGAAACUAACAAGGAUUCCCCUAGUAACGGCGAGUGAAGCGGGAAGAGCUCAAAUUUGAAAUCUUAAAGGGUUUCCCUUUACGAAUUGUAGUUUAAAGAAGUGUUUUCUGUUGAGGUUUUGGUAAAAGUUCUUUGGAAUAGGACAUCAUAGAGGGUGAGAAUCCCGUAUUUGACCUUUACUUUCAACUUUGUGAUACACUUUCAAAGAGUCGGAUUGUUUGGGAAUGCAGUCCAAAAUGGGUGGUAAAUUUCAUCUAAAGCUAAAUAUUGGCGAGAGACCGAUAGCGAACAAGUACCGUGAGGGAAAGAUGAAAAGAACUUUGAAAAGAGAGUUAAACAGUACGUGAAAUUGUCAAAAGGGAAGCGUUUGACACCAGUGUUGUUUUUCUGAAAAUCAAUUAAAGAACUGUUUAUGCUAAGUUGUUUAGACUUUAUCAGCUAACUGUUUAGUUUUGAGCUUUUCUUUAAUGCACUUUUCAGUUAACAAGUCAACAUCAAUUUCUUUUGCUGUAAAAAAGCUUGAGGAAGGUGGCUUGAGAUUCGUCUUAAGUGUUUAUAGCCUCUUGCCUAUGCAGUCGGAGAGAUUGAGGUCUGCAGCGUAGAUCCCUUCGGGGCUAAAUGCAUUUGUGCUAAGUUAUAGCAUUUUAUAGACAACUUGUUGACUAUGAUUUGUCUUGUAGCUUACUCGCUUAUGUUAUUUUACCUACGCUUAGGAUGUUGACACACGCGCGUGCUCGGCUCUAUACAUGACUCUGUGCAUAUCAAUAAGCGGAGGAAAAGCGCAUUAAAGAUCCAGAUACCUACGCUUAGGAUGUUGACACACGCGCGUGCUCG
rnacentral:rRNA from 1 species